rnacentral:lncRNA from 1 species
AGGUAUAGUCUUUUUGGAGGAAAUGUAUCACUGAGCAUGGGCUUUGUGGUUCAAAAUAUCCAAGGUACACUCAGUGGCAAUCUCUCUUCCUGCUUUAUGUUUGCUUCCUGCUAUGACAAAAAUGACCUAAACCUCAGAAACAUGUCAGACCUAAAAAAUAAAAAUUGCUAUGCUCAGAAACAGAAUAGAUACUGUGGGUGGAUGGGGGGAGGGAGGAUAGAGACAUUUUAAACAUCAAGUAUUGAAAUAUAAGUGAUCAAUAAAAGCACUAUACAGUUAUCAAGAGACCUUUACAAUAAAGUCACAGGAUAGCAAUCUCCAUGUCAUACUUAGAAUUCUAGUGACUUCAAGCUAUAAUUCAUUCACCAAGAAUAAAUGCCAAAUGCUAUUCAACUCCAAAGAAUGUACAUAUCCAACGGUCCAAAAUAUGUGUUGUAUAGGGCUUUAUAACUUGCUAUGGUGACAGAUGAAAAAUAAGCAGAGAUUACCUACCACAUUCACAAUAAUUUAAAUAAGUGGCAUAUGAUUUAGAAAUAUAAUAAUCAAUAAGGCUACCAUAUAAUAUAUAAAAUAUGUAAGCAUUUUAUUCCAACUAAGUGAUCAUUUCCUGUGUGUGUGUGUGUGUGUGUGUGUGUUCACACAAAGAUAGUAAGAAGUAUGAUGGGAAAUUUUGAUCAGGUAUUCUGGAUUCAAAUUCUCUGUAUCAUAUAUUGUCUGAAUUAAUCUGAAAAGGUUCCUUCUGAGUCCUUACAAAUAAGAACACUAAAUAAAAUAUCUUUCUCACAUAAGCUAAUACUUGAUUUACUCUCUGGUGACUAAGACUGGACUAGCCAGGAGAACACAGGGCUCAGGAGCAGUGGAAUAGCAAGGAAAGGAUCAUUCCAGCUUCCAUCUGCACCCAGGGGCUGGUCCACAAUCCUCUCUGCAUGAGUCCUUACAAGGGAAAGCUGGACUCCCAGGAGUGCUGACACAGAUCCACAGGAGGGACAAGCUCAAGCCAGCGACAGCAAGACCAACUAACUCUAGAGAUAACCAGAUGGUGAAAGGCAAGCACAAGAAUGUUACCAACAGAAACCAAGGCUGCAUGUCAUCACCUGAUCCCAGUUCUCCCACAACACCAUGUUCUGGAUACCCCAACACACCAGAAAAGCAAGCUUUGGAUUUAAAAUCAUAUCUCAUGCUGCUGAUAGAGGACUUUAAGAGGGCAUAAAUAACUCCCUUAAAGAAAUACAGGAGAAUGCAGGUAGAAGCUCUAAAAGAAGAAUUGUGCGUGCACACACACACACACACACACACACACACACACACACACAAAACCUUAAAAACUACAGGAAAACACAAUUGAACAGGUAAAAGAAUUGAACAAAACCAUUCAGGAUCUAAAAAUGGAAGUAGAAACAAUAAAAAAAAAUCACAAAAGGAGACAACCCUGUAGAUACAAAACCUAGGAAAGAGACCAGAAGUUGUAGAUGUGAACAUCACCAAUAGUAUAUAAGAGAUAGAAGAGAGAAUCUCAAGUGCAGAAGAUACCAUAGAAAACAUUGACACAACAGUCAAAGAAAAUGUAAAAUGCAAAAAACUCCUAACUGAAAAUAUCCAGGAAAUCCAGGACACAAUGAGAAGACCAAACCUAAGGAAAAUAGGUAUAGAAAGAGAGCAAAGAUCCCCAACUUAAAGGGCCAGAAAAUAUCUUCAAAAAAAAAUCAUAGAAGAAAAGCUCCCUAACAUAAAGAAAGAGAUGCCCAUGAACAUACAAGAAGCAUAAAGAACUCCAAAUAGAUUGGCCCAGAAAAGAUAUUCCUCCCAUCACAUAAUAUUCAAAAUACCAAAUGCACAAAACAAAGAAAGAAUUUUAAAAUCAGUAAGGGAAAAAGUGCUACACACAGUCCAGUGUAGUCUGCUUAAAAGGCCGUGAAAUCUAGAAGCAGUCAUGAGGCAAAGAGUUUCAAGAGAAACUCAACCUCCUGGAACCUUGGCAUUCUCAUAACCCUUAUACUCAUACCCUAUCCCUGCGUUAGUCUGGUGUAUGGAUCCAUGUGCUCUCUUUUAGUAUUAUUUUAUUAUAAGUGCCUUUAAGGAUUGAAUUCUGACAUAGCUAAGCCUUCUCCAGUGUUCCAACGUCCUAGAAAGUCCUUGAGCUGACCAUGGGCUUGGAAUUCAGUAAGAAUGUUGCCUAUUCCACGACAUUCAGAAUUGCCUCUAACAUUACACUAUCACUUAGAGAUUGGAGUUCCUGUCUUGGCCUCCUUCCCUAUUACAGCCUAAAGAUUGAGGCUUGUUUCUUUGUCCUUGGCCAAUGUCAGAUUCCUGCCUAGUGGCAUUCCAAAGGUCUCUCCUCAAAGUAUUCCAUAAAGAAUACAUCUACUAUAUUUAUAAACACUUCUAUGGGAGAGAAGUAUAUGUGAUUGGAUCACAUGUUUAUUCUUUUGAGUUUCCACCUGCUUCAGCACAGAUAAGUAAAUUCUGUGCUCUAGACAGUGUUUUAAAAUGUUGAUUAAUCAAGCUUUAAUUUGUAUAUUAAUAGGAGAGAGAGAGAGAGAGAGAGAGAGAGAGAGAGAGCACUCAGAGCUUUCAAUUGCUUAAAAAUUGUUCGUCCUUCAGAUACUAGGAAUAUGAAUUCCCAAUAUUUCAAUUGUUUAUGCAUCUACAACUUGUAAGAAAAAAUGCUGUUCUUUUAAGAAGACUGUCUUUAGACAUUUAAGCAUUUGCUCUAGAUUGCUUGGACAAGACCUCUUAAGGCAAGGCCACGCUAGCUUUAAUCCCAGGCAGAUUAUAGGCCUUACACAAAAAUAAUUGGCCAUAUAAACUUGUUCUUUACAUCAUCAAAGUAGUAAUGGCUUAAGAUAAUACUUUAGUAUUUAAAAAAAUGUGCAUGUCAAAUUGUCCUCAGUUUCUACCUGUUUCCACAUAAUGGUGUUAAUUCUUGAGGACUUAUAUUUAAUUAUUGCAAGUGGAUACUCUUAUCUCUGAUUAAAUAAAUAUAUAAUUAAAUAAAAUAUGCACAUGUGACUAUUUAAUACCUUUCCAGGCUUUCUAGUUACAACUGCUCUACCAGAGAAACAACUGAAAGUGCAAUUAUUCACUGCCUGUGUUAAUUUUUUAAAUAGACUUGGUGUUCCAAAUCAGAUUAAAACAGAUAUUAAAACUGACUAUAACACUCAAGUAUUUGAGAUGUUUUGUCAACAAUUUAAUAAUUCUCAAAGACAAGGUAUUGUAGAACUUUAUAAACUCUAUCUUCUUAAAAAAAAAAAAACAAAGAAGGGGAGGAAUUAUAUCCCUGUGCACAUUAUUUAAAUCACACUUUAUUUUUUUAAAAAAUUAAAAUUUGGAUGUCAAAGAACUUACUAAAUGCCUCAUAGAAUCAUAGAACUAGACAUAAUCAUGUCUAGGUGAGAUGAAAAAGAUCCACUUAUUGGCACAUGGCAUGAUCCUGAACAGAAAGUUAAUACGGGGGAGAGAGGGAAUGUUUCUGUUUUUUCCACAGAAUGCUGCAGGAGCAUGCUAGCUUCCAGAAUGAUUCCUGUGACAGGCUGACCUGUGACUUCCUGAGUGCCCUGACAGUGGUGACAGGAGAGCAGUAUUGAGUGCACAGGAAAAGAGGAAUCCGGGAGAGCAGGCACUUGCAAGCAAGAUGAAGAAACUCUUCCUAUGUCCGCCAUGGGAUACAGCAAAGAGAACAGACCUGGUACCAACUUAAAAUAAAAACAACUAAAAAAGAUGACUUAUGAGGCAGAGGGACUGCUUCAGAGUAUUUGACAAGAUUUCAUCAGAGACACAGUUUUUGCCCAUUCAGGCCAACUCCCCUAUGGCUGUGAAAGCUUUUGUACCUUACCUAUAUGCUAUAUUGUUAGAUAAUUUUAAGAGUUAAGAUCAUGAAUCUUGACAAGUCUUUUCUUUUUUUUUUUGACAAGUCUUUUCAUAUUCAUUGUAAUUUUUGUCAAUUAACGAAUUGUGUAGAUCCUAAUUUAGAUAAAGAAUCUGCUGUUAUGAAUUUGUUAAAGAGAUCUGCUUUUGUUUUGCUGCCUAUAGAGUUAGGAAAUGAUCCUUGGAUUACAAAUCUUGGAAUGAAAACUUUGAAAAGGUAUCUACCAAAGCCUUAGUUCAGCAGCUGCAUACUGCUCAUUUUGUUAGUGAUAAGCACAGGAAUAUUUCCAUAGCUUUGUCAGAGCAACAUAUUAUAGAUAAAAAAUUGGAGGCAAAGGAUAAUGUCUUAGAAGUAGUAGUCAUAGCAAUAGGGUAGGAUAUAGCAAAUAUUAAGGCUAGAAAGGCAGAAAUUUCAGAUAUUAACAAAAGUCACUUGGACACUUGGAACAUUGAUGAAUUGGCCAGAGAUUUAAAAAUAACCUGAGUGCAUUGAGUCCAUUGGAUUGGUUCAAUGUAUAAUCCUACUUGCUAUUAUUAUUGGCAUUAUUUUAUUAGUAAUUGUGUUUCCACUCAUCUUUAGAGUACUUCUGAGAUCUGUAGCUACAAAAAGUGUGACAUUCUUGAACUUUGGCUGAAAAAUAAAACAAAAGGGGG